rnacentral:lncRNA from 1 species
GGGGGUGAGGUCGGAGAACUGGGUGACGCCGUGGACGGCGCCGGGGUCGAGCCGCUGGUGGCGGCGCGCGCGGCGGAGGUUCGCCGCGAACACCGAGCGCCGGUGCGCGCGCUCCUCCGCGCUCGCGUACGAUCUCCCGAACCGCCGCUCGAAGCUCACGAAGUGCGCCUCCACCGCCGCCGCCCCGAGCCCUAGAUGGCCGCCGCCGCCGACGCCUCCCUCCUCCUUCGCGUCCGGCACCACCUGGAGGAUCAGCGGGUCCUCCGCCUCCGCCUCCACCACCGCCGCCGCCGCCGCGGCGGAGGAGACGACGAGGAUCGAGAGGAAGAGGAGGAGGGGGCGAAGGAGAGGAGCCAUGGAUG